rnacentral:rRNA from 1 species
GAUGAACGCUGGCGGCGUGCCUAAUACAUGCAAGUCGGGCGAACAGAUGAGGAGCUUGCUCCUCUGACGUUAGCGGCGGACGGGUGAGUAACACGUGGAUAACCUACCUAUAAGACUGGGAUAACUUCGGGAAACCGGAGCUAAUACCGGAUAAUAUAUUGAACCGCAUGGUUCAAUAGUGAAAGACGGUUUUGCUGUCACUUAUAGAUGGAUCCGCGCCGCAUUAGCUAGUUGGUAAGGUAACGGCUUACCAAGGCAACGAUGCGUAGCCGACCUGAGAGGGUGAUCGGCCACACUGGAACUGAGACACGUUCCAGACUCCUACGGGAGGCAGCAGUAGGGAAUCUUCCGCAAUGGGCGAAAGCUUGACGGAGCAACGCCGCGUGAGUGAUGAAGGUCUUCGGAUCGUAAAACUCUGUUAUUAGGGAAGAACAAAUGUGUAAGUAACUAUGCACGUCUUGACGGUACCUAAUCAGAAAGCCACGGCUAACUACGUG